CGUUAUCUAUUUUGGUCUUCACAGUUAGUUUUUUUAUGUUUGAUAUUUUUAAUAUGAUUAUAAUCGUUUGAUUGCAGGUCCAUAGUAUACUACGGUGAACCAUCCGUAUCUAAAUUGUUUUCCUUUCCUUCUUCUACUUCCCUAUUCUUCCUCUUGUGUUCUCCUUCCCUUCCUCCCUCAUCAUCAUAUCAUAUUCAGCUCUAAACCCAGAAAUCCUAAAACAUAAACUUAUCAAAAUCCACAAAUUAGUAAUCACAAAACACACAUAAAAGCUUUCCCUUUCAUACCUGCUGCAAUUUCCAGUGAAAGUCAUGAGCAACAACCAACACAGAACCAACAACGAACAAUCGAAAUCCAUACAGGUUAAUAUCUAAGAUUCAAAAUUUUCCCUUUCAAAAUCGAAAUCCAUAAAAGCUUCACAUAUUUCUUUCCAGUAUACACGUAAAGAAAGAUCCUGUUGUCACAAGCUUCACAUACUCGUAGCUUCAUAUAUUAUAGAACCUUAGUUCAUGAAAUCUUUGAUCUAUCUCUUACCUUAUUUUUUUCCUAAUAAAACUUAACCAAUAUUUUUACUUCCAUCAUUAUUAGAACCGAGGAAAUUGAUUGUUGAACCUUGUGGUGUUACUUUUGGAGUGGUAGAUUCUGUGAUAUCCAUGUUCUACUUUGGCAUCCACUUCUCAAAUUGGGUCCAAAUUUCUUCUCACGAUUUUCAAAUGUAAAACUAGAGGUAUGAAAACACACAUCCCUGAAUGAUAGAGGUGAUGAAUCCUCUUUUGAGUUGGAUUCUUCAUCUUUUGUGUUCAUGAUUGGUUCGGCGUUUGGAUUCAAACUAGGAGAAGCUUGGGUUGUUGUUGAUGAUUUGGAUUUUGCAGAUUAUGAAUUAACUAAUUUUUUUUCAACUAUUAUAAAUUAACCUAUUUGGAUUUGAUGGAAAUUGU
rnacentral:lncRNA from 1 species